UAAUAUUUUUUUAAUUUCAAACAUUCAAAGGCCCAAAUAAUACGAUUUGCAAAUCACGACAAAACAGAUAUGCAAAUCAUCGACGAUCCUUUCCGUUCCCACCACGAAUUCAGACUGACAAUCUUGAUCGUCGACGGAAACCCAGAACCGGGCUCGACCGACAUACUCUUUUCUGACGAUGACGUAGAUGGUCUGAAAGAUAACGAGUCGCUCUGAGUCGGCUCAAGCAGCGACGAUGUUGGUAAAGAAAGUGUUUUUUGUGCAGGAAAAAUAAGCGGCGAUAAUAUCUUCGACAGAGUGGUGGUUAUCAGCGGCGUUUUAGGAAGGAUAUAUAGAUGAUAAAUUGGUGGUAAUGGAUUGGAUAAAGCGAUAUAUGUUGUCGAUUGGAUGGUUGUGGUCGCCAUUUUGGUAUGAAUUUUUCUCCCUAAUUAUUAUUUGUUGUUCGAUUUUUUAGCAGGAAGAGUUGAAAAUAUUCAUAUCUAUUGAUUUUUUUAUUUAUUGUCUGGAUGGAUUUUAAGC
rnacentral:lncRNA from 1 species